GCUGGGGCGAUGGCUCCAUGGAUAAAGUGCAUGCAUGCUGCAUAAGUAUCAGAGUUCAGACCCCAAACCCUCACAGAAACGCCAGGCAGGUGUCCUGUGGUCUGUCUGCAAUCCCAUCAUGACCAGGAAGCAGAGACAAGAUCCUGGCACAAGCUGGCUAACUGGAUGAGGUGUCGAGAUUAAAGGUUUGCACCACCAUGCCCAUGGAGGAAGAUUUAAAGAAGACAGCUCACAAAGAAGGAGGAGGAGUGUAAGGGUGUGAAACUGGGGUUGUGGAAAAGAAGAACCCACAAAGCAGCAAAGACCAGCUACAGAAGAGGGGGCUGAAGGAAUGCUAAGGGAGACUAGGCAGAGUGCUGGCAUUGGGACCUGUCAUGGGCGCUGCCACUGUGGGUACCUGCACAAGCUCAGCCAGCAUCCCAACAGGCAGCACGCAGUGGGCUCGGUGGGCUAGUAACAGAAACAAAGAGGACAUGAAAGAA